GGCGAACGGGUGAGUAACACGUGGGCAACCUGCCCCUCGCAGGGGGACAACCGGAGGAAACUCCGGCUAAUACCCCGUACGCUUGUUGGAUCGCAUGGUUCGGCAAGGAAAGGUAGCUUCGGCCAUCCGGCGAGGGAUGGGCCCGCGUUGCAUUAGCUAGUUGGUGGGGUGACGGCCUACCAAGGCGACGAUGCGUAGCUGGUCUGAGAGGAUGAUCAGCCACACUGGGACUGAGACACGGCCCAGACUCCUACGGGAGGCAGCAGCCAGGAAUCUUGGGCAAUGGGCGAAAGCCUGACCCAGCAACACCGUGUGGGCGAUGAAGGCCUUAGGGUCGUAAAGCCCUGUUGAUAGGGACGAAGGGCGAAGGGUUAAUAGCCCCUAGCUUGACGGUACCUUUCGAGGAAGCCCCGGCUAACUACGUGCCAGCAGCCGCGGUAAUACGUAGGGGGCGAGCGUUGUCCGGAAUUAUUGGGCGUAAAGAGCGUGUAGGCGGUUCGGUAAGUCUGCUGUGAAAUCCUGGGGCUCAACCCUGGGCGUGCAGCGGAUACUGCCGGGCUAGAGGGUGGUAGAGGCGAGUGGAAUUCCGAGUGUAGCGGUGAAAUGCGCAGAUAUUCGGAGGAACACCAGUAGCGAAGGCGGCUCGCUGGGCCACACCUGACGCUGAGACGCGAAAGCGUGGGGAGCGAACAGGAUUAGAUACCCUGGUAGUCCACGCCGUAAACGAUGGAUACUGGGUGUGGGGGGAGUCGAAUCCCUCUGUGCCGAAGUUAACGCGUUAAGUAUCCCGCCUGGGGAGUACGGCCGCAAGGCUAAAACUCAAAAGAAUUGACGG
rnacentral:rRNA from 1 species